AACGAACGCUGGCGGCAUGCCUAACACAUGCAAGUCGAACGAGACCUUCGGGUCUAGUGGCGCACGAGUGCGUAACGCGUGGGAACCUGCCUUUAGGUUCGGAAUAACUCAGAGAAAUUUGAGCUAAUACCGGAUGAUGUCUUCGGACCAAAGAUUUAUCGCCUUUAGAUGGGCCCGCGUUGGAUUAGCUAGUUGGUGGGGUAAAGGCCUACCAAGGCGACGAUCCAUAGCUGGUCUGAGAGGAUGAUCAGCCACACUGGGACUGAGACACGGCCCAGACUCCUACGGGAGGCAGCAGUGGGGAAUAUUGGACAAUGGGCGAAAGCCUGAUCCAGCAAUGCCGCGUGAGUGAUGAAGGCCUUAGGGUUGUAAAGCUCUUUUACCCGAGAUGAUAAUGACAGUAUCGGGAGAAUAAGCUCCGGCUAACUCCGUG
rnacentral:rRNA from 1 species